UCAGACAUGGUAUAGUGGGAACACGGCCUCUAAUAAUGCGAAGGUAUGAAAUUUCAGAGGCAGUCCAGGGUUCGAGUCCCUGUGUCAGAA